UGCCCUAUACCCCAGUCACUGA
rnacentral:miRNA from 2 species